AAAGACUUAGUCCUAACCUUACCAUUAAUUUUUGCCAGACAUAUACAUGCAAGUAUCCGCGCUCCAGUGUAAAUGCCCUUGACUUUCUUAUUAUUAAGCAAAAGGAGCGGGCAUCAGGCACACCAGUUAAAUGUAGCCUAAGACGCCUUGCUCAGCCACACCCCCAUGGGUAUUCAGCAGUAAUUGACAUUAAGCAAUAAGUGCAAACUUGACUUAGUUAUGGCAAUAUCUCAGGGUUGGUAAAUCUUGUGCCAGCCACCGCGGUCACACAAGAGACCCAAAUUAAUUGUACUCAGGCGUAAAGAGUGGUAACAUGCUAUCAUACCAACUAAGAUUAAAGUAUAAUUAAGCUGUCAUAAGCUCAUGGCAUACCUAAGACCUCCCUUAAAACGAUCUUAGCAUCAAUGAUUAAUUAAGCCCACGAAAGCUAAGGUACAAACUGGGAUUAGAUACCCCACUAUGCUUAGCCCUAAAUCCUGAUACCAACUUAACUACAGUAUCCGCCUGAGAACUACGAGCACAAACGCUUAAAACUCUAAGGACUUGGCGGUACCCCAAACCCACCUAGAGGAGCCUGUCCUAUAAUCGAUAACCCACGAUGUACCCAACCGCUCCUUGCCAAGACAGCCUACAUACCGCCGUCGCCAGCUCACCUUCUCUGAGGGAUCAACAGUGAGCACAACAGCCUCUAUCCCGCUAACAAGACAGGUCAAGGUAUAGCUAAUGGAUCGGAAGAGAUGGGCUACACUUUCUAAACUAGAAGACCACGAAAAGAGGUGUGAAACCACCUCUGGAAGGCGGAUUUAGCAGUAAAACAGGAUAAUAAAGCCUGUUUUAAGCUGGCCCUGGGGUACGUACAUACCGCCCGUCACCCUCCUCUCAAGCCACACGCCUCUUUCCCCAAUAAAUAAUAUGCCCACUGGCUAAAGAUGAGGUAAGUCGUAACAAGGUAAGUGUACCGGAAGGUGCACUUAGCAUAU
rnacentral:ncRNA from 1 species